rnacentral:rRNA from 1 species
GGUUGAAGCAUCGAAGGGCGCAUGGUGGAUGCCUUGGCAUGAGCAGGCGAUGAAGGACGUGGAAGGCUGCGAUAAGCUGCGGGAAGCCGUCAAACAGGCUAUGAUCCGCAGAUGUCCGAAUGGGGCAACCCGGCAGGUCGAUGACCUGUCAUCCCGCGCUGAAUUUAUAGGCGCGGAGAGGCAAACCCGGUGAACUGAAACAUCUUAGUAGCUGGAGGAAAAGAGAUCAAUCAAGAGAUUCCCCAAGUAGUGGCGAGCGAACGGGGACGAGCCUAAACUGCCGUGGUUUCGGCCACGUCAGGGUUGUAGGACUCGCAUUACGGAGCGUCUUAGCUAAAGACGAAGCUGACUGGAAAGCAGCACCGCAGAGGGUGACAGUCCCGUAGACGUACGGCGGCGACGCUCCGCGAGUAUCCUGAGUAUCACGGGACCGGCGAAAUCCCGUGAGAAACUGCUGGCACCAUCCGGCAAGGCUAAAUACUCGCUCAUGACCGAUAGUGAACCAGUACCGUGAGGGAAAGGUGAAAAGAACGCCUCAUCGGCGAGUGAAACAGUAUCUGAAACCAUGUGCUUACAAGCGGUCGGAGCUCCAAUCACAUUUUGGAUUGGUGAUCUUGGAUUGCGAAUUUUCUUCAGCUUCGCGCUGUCGAAGACUCCCAAUCCACGAUCUAAAAUCCAAAAUCGGAGUGACGGCGUACCUUUUGCUUAAUGGGCCUACGAGUUGCUCCUCAUCUGGCAAGGUAGAGGCCUUCAGGGCCGUAUCCGUAGCGAAAGCGAGUCCUAAGCGGCGCCCAAGUCAGAGGGGGCAGACGCGAAACCGGGUGAUCUACCUAUGGGCAGGGUGAAGCGUGGGUAAGACCACGUGGAGGCCCGCACCGGAUAGUGUUGCAAAACUAUCGGAUGACCUGUGGGUAGGGGUGAAAGGCCAAUCAAACCCGGAGAUAGCUCGUUCUCUUCGAAAUACAUUUAGGUGUAGCGUUGCAAGAGAGUGUCGUGGAGGUAGAGCACUGAUUGGGUCAGGGCCCUUCAAGGGGUACCAAGCCCAGAUAAACUCCCAAUGCCACGACAUGCUUUGCAGCAGUGAGGGCGUGGGGGAGAAGCUCCACGUCCGAGAGGGAAACAACCCAGACCGACAGCUAAGGUCCCCAAGUUCAAGCUAAGUUGACUGAAGGCAGUCAGACUGCACAGACAAUCAGGAUGUUGGCUUAGAAGCAGCCAUUCAUUUAAAGAGUGCGUAAUAGCUCACUGGUCGAGCGGUCCGGCGCCGAAAAUUCAUCGGGCAUCAAGCUUGACACCGAAGCUUCGGAUUUUCCACCCUUCGCGGGUGGUAGAUGGUAGAAGAGCAUUCCAGCAGCAUCGAAGCCGCAUCGUGAGGUGCCGUGGAGCUUCUGGAAAAGAAAAUGUAGGCAUGAGUAGCGAUAAGAGGAGUGAGAAACUUCUUCGCCACAAGCCUAAGGUUUCCUGUUCAACGUUAAUCGGAACAGGGUUAGUCGGGACCUAAGACAAGGCCGAGAGGCGUAGUCGAUGGACAACGGGUCAACAUUCCCGUACCACCAACCGGCGUGAACGCAAGGCGGGACGCAACCGUGUAGAGUCCGCGUCCUGAUGAAUCAGGACGUUGAAGCCGUGUAGGCCGCGAGGUAGGCAAAUCCGCCUCGCACGAGGUCGAGCGGCGACAGUAGGGGGAGCCCACGGGCAAACCCAUAGCGACUACAAGCGGUUGCCAAGAAAAACGUCGUGCGUUGCCCAAGGUGCCCGUACCAAUAACUGACACAGGUAGGCGAGGAGAGCAUCCUCAGGCGCUCGAGUGAUCCGUGGCUAAGGAAUUCGGCAAAAUGGUCUCGUAACUUCGGGAGAAGGGACGCCCGCUUCCAUCUAAAAGCGGAAGUGGGUCGCAGUGACCUGGCCCAAGCGACUGUUUACCAAAAACACAGUCCUCUGCUAAAUCGCAAGAUGACGUAUAGGGGAUGACACCUGCCCGGUACUGGAAGGUUAAGGGAGCCUGUUAGCCCUUCGGGGCAAAGCGGGCAACUGAAGCCCCAGUAAACGGCGGCCGUAACUAUAACGGUCCUAAGGUAGCGAAAUUCCUUGUCGGGUAAGUUCCGACCUGCACGAAUGGUGCAACGAUUUGGGCACUGUCUCAGCCACGGGCUCGGUGAAAUUUUGGUGUCGGUGAAGACGCCGGCUUCUCAC